GAUGAACGCUAGCGGCAGGCUUAAUACAUGCAAGUUGAGGGGCAGCAUGAUAUACGCGAGUAUAUUGAUGGCGACCGGCGGACGGGUGAGUAAUAGGUAGGAGACCUACCUCAUACAGGGGGAUAGCAUAGAGAAAUCUGUGGUAAUACCCCAUGAGGUUAUAUGAAUAGAGGCAUAUAAUCAAAGCAUAAGCGAUUAUGCGGUAUGAGAGGGGCCUACUGACCAUUAGCUAGUUGGUGAGGUAAGGGCUCACCAAGGCGAAGAUGGUUAGGGGUUUUGAGAGAGAGACCCCCCACAUUGGAACUGAGAGACGGUCCAGACUCCUACGGGAGGCAGCAGUAGGGAAUAUUGGGCAAUGGGCGAAAGCCUGACCCAGCCAUGCCGCGUGAAGGAAGACGGCCUUAUGGGUUGUAAACUUCUUUAACUAGCGAAUAGAGGUUAGUACGAGAUACUAAUAGGAAGGUAGUGUAGUAAAAAGCACCGGCUAACUCCGUAG
rnacentral:rRNA from 1 species